ensembl:lncRNA novel transcript
AUGUUUGAUCUGAAUACCUGGGGGCCAGAUGAUGAAUGUUUUGUCUCUUAUAUGAGGAAUCUUGUUCUGGGCUAAGUGCACCUAAGUGCUUUUGCCUCUCUGGCUGCUGUCCUCACCCCGUAUGUGGGGUGUCGCAUAUAUGAAGUGACUACUACUAUGGUAGCCCUCGAGGAGGCAGAAGGCCAUCAACAGGACCAGGGAAUUGUGCCAUAAAGAAGAGGAAGAUGCUCCAUCUACAGAAGUGGCGGCGCCCCUCUUGUGGCAACAUUUGGCAGUAUGCAGUUGUGCCAUCAACAAAUCCAGAGUCCAAGGGCCUGGAUUGUCUGCCAAAUUCUUAGGAGUUAUUUGAUCAGCACGUUGAUUAAUCCAGCCUGGAGCUUUCCUGAAAGGUACUGCAAGUGACAUAACCUAAGGGACAAAAUGACCAAGCAUAAAAUGGACACAUUCACAAAAUGAAGCCUGUGGACUGAAGAGUAACAGAAAGCAGUCAGUGGAGGGGGACCAUCAACCUCAUGAAAAUUGCAACUGGAACAUGUCACUGAGAAAACCCAGGGAAAACUCACAAAGGCAUUCUAGAGCACUGCUUCCUAAAUGUUACUGUGCUUACAAACUACCUAAGUAUCUUGCUGCAAUACAGGAUAUUCGGUAAGCUAUGGCAAACUCCAAGGUGAUGGCUGAUGUGUCUGGUUCAACAACUACACUUCGUAUCAAAGGUUUAAAGAAAAAGACUUGGCUUCAAGUGCCUGCCAUACCAAGAGGAGACUGACAGCAGAUUCUACCAGCAUUACCUUUAUAAAGUCUGUGCUCCCCUUUCUGCUGUUGUCUCUCUCCCAGUGCUAGAUCUCUAGAGAGUGAGAAAUCCAAGUUGAUAAAGGUUAGAAAAAAGUAGGGAAAAUAACCACCGAAAGACUGAAUAUACAAAGGGACAAUGGCCAGACCACUUAUGGUAAUAUAACGCUGAUGACUCACAUUAGAUGCCCAGGAAACCAAAAAACAACUUCUGUAGCAAUCAAUCCAGAAAGUCAAAUGACAGCCUUUGUAAUAACCAGCUCAGAUGGUCAGGACUAAGUCAAUGCUGCCAACUUCCCUGUAUUUGUUCUCACUUUCAAUCAGGAUGAACAAAAAGAAAGCCAAAUAUAAAAUCAAUUCCAUAAGAUGACAUGUGUCCAGGUAACCUGUCCCAGUCCUUCCCAUGACAACAACCUGCCAUCAAGGUCUCUACAUAGCCUCUUUUUCUUUUUGCAUUACUAAAAAGCUUUUCCACUGUCUGUCAGUCUUUGAGUCUCCGCCAAACAUGGAUAAUAUUAAUAGAUAAUGGUAGCCCACUCCCUUGUUACAGUAACCUCUAAAUAAAUAGCUUCACUUGUUUGUUC